rnacentral:lncRNA from 1 species
CUUCAGACAAGACAGUCUCAAGUUAAAAAUUACCAAUACUCACCUACAAAAUGUGGCAUGGAGCUGCUAGUACCUUCCUCUCUAAAAUAAUCUUCCAUCAGAGCUGCGUGUACCAUGUAUGUUACCAUUUAUGUACAUGUCAUCUCCCUCUUCAGAAGUAAAGUGAACUGGAGAAGGAAAUAGCAGACCACUUCAGCAUCUUUGCCAAGCAAACCCCAACUGGGAUCUUGAGGAGUCAAGCAUGACUUUAAAUGACUGAAUAACAGCAACAACAAAAUGUACUCUACAUGUAUGUAUAUGUAGAAGCAUGUGUGUAAACAAAUAUGUGUAUGCAUAUGUACACAUCCAUAUAAUUGUGUUUCCAGCAAGAAUGCAUAUUUUUGUUUUCCAAGACUGUUUAUAAUUGGCUUUCAAUAGGGCUUGUUUAAAAGUAGUUCAUGAGGGAGAAACAUCUUUAUAAAGGGCACAGGUUACUCAAGUAUAGGAAAUGCCACUCUGCAUUUCAUAUGUUCCAUUAGUAUAUUUUGUCUUCCAGAA